rnacentral:rRNA from 1 species
UACAGAGGGUGCAAGCGUUAAUCGGAAUUACUGGGCGUAAAGCGCGUGUAGGCUGCUCGGAAAGUCGGAUGUGAAAGCCCUGGGCUCAACCUAGGAAGUGCAUUCGAAACUUCCAAGCUGGAGUGCUGGAGAGGAAGGCGGAAUUCUCGGUGUAGAGGUGAAAUUCGUAGAUAUCGAGAGGAACACCGGUGGCGAAGGCGGCCUUCUGGACAGUAACUGACGCUCAGGCGCGACAGCGUGGGGAUCAAACAGG